rnacentral:lncRNA from 1 species
CUGCAUGUUUUACCAGAGUACUCGACUCGGCUGUCAAAGGCAGAGUUGAAGAGGACUCGACCAAAUUUGUGGUCACUUGUUUUAGUGGAAAGUCCUCUGCCUGAUUUUGCAGAAACUGCAGAAAACUUUUAAAAGAAGUACCAUGUAUCCCCUAAUCCCACCCAACAUUGACAACCUCUUCCGAUUUUUUACAUAACCUGAAAUUAUACAUUUACUUGUGCUCGCAAUAGAUACUAUAUGUUUAUGGAGAAGCAAAAGCAAAACACAAACAUUCAAUAACCUUCAAUAUGGAACAAUAAGGAUGAUUUUAAACAGCUUACUCUGUUGCGCAUUUCCCAGACAUCAAAAAUUGACUUCCCAUUUCUUAGUGGGAUAAAAAGAUCGCUUGCAAAAUAAUUACAUGACAUUGCACAAUUCUACAACUUCAAAUGAUAGUGAUCAAUACACUAGAAAAUUAAGGCAUAAACUACGUAGUGAUUCAUCCAUUUCAAAUAAUUGUUUGCAAAAUAAUUAGAUGAAAUUGCAAAAUUCUGCAACUUGAUAAGAUAGCGAAUAAUGUAAUUAGCAAACCAUGCCAUGCCUAAUCAUUCAAAAGAUGGGCUUCAAGAAAGUGGCCAUUUAAUUCGUGAAGCCUCCUAACAAAUGUCAUAUUGAAAGGUCAAGGAAAAAAACCCAUCAUUCUAGGUACAUUAAAAUUGACAUUUUCACACUAUUUUAAGAUUGGAUAUGCCAUUAAAUCAGAACAAAACGCUUAUAGAUGGAAUCGACAAAACAUCAGGAAACUAAUUAGGAGCAAUAGAAGUGGAAGGUACCCACGUCAUCGAGAGCGAAGCAUGAGGCCAUUUUAGAACAUCGAUGAAGGUAACAGAGCGCACUGAAACCUAAAUUUGGAGCGCUGAUAGGGCAUCACCCAUUGCUUUUCAAUAUAGGGCUUCUCAUAGAUAGCCCCCGAAGAGAGAGAGACUCCCGAGCACGGUUUAAACAAUCGCGCCCCACCAAACUAUGUUUUCACCCUAUGUUUAAACAAUGUUUAAACAAUCGAGAAGCAGUUCCCAUGUGAAACUAUGUUUUCACCCUAAGAUUUAAGGAUGCACCUCGGCA